CUUGUGAUGUAUAAUUAGGUUACAUAUGAGCUCUAUUUAUAGAGAAAUACAAUGACUUGGGGAGUAAGCACAAUAAGGCCCAAUAAGCUAACAAUAUGAUCCAAUAACCCAAUUGUUAUAUGGACAUCCAUAGAGCUGUCAAAAUGGGUUGGCCCAUACGGGCUGGCCCGUUUAGCCCGAAUAAAUAUAGGGCUUGGGCCUAAAAUAUUGAGCCCGAAUUUUAAUAGGGCUUUUUAGCCCGGCCCUUAAAAGCCCGGUACCCGUUAGGGCUAGCCCGAAUGGGCCGCGGGUAGCCCGUUAGCCCGCAUAACAAAAAAAAAUCUAUAAAUUAUAUAUAUUUUUCAAAUAAUUAUUUACUUAGUUGAUUAUCAAAGUAAAAAACAAAAGUGAAAAUUCAAUGAAUUAACACAAAUAUAAAUGUAAUAUAAAAUUAUAUUUAUUCAUUUCGUUAUUUAUAGUUUUAAAGAUCGAAUAUAUAAAUAUCUAUAACCAUAACAUAUCUAAUUUAUUUAAAAUCAUUUUCCUCGUCGUUUUAGUUUACGACGUUUGUACGAAAAUGUUUACAAUUUACUUUUGUGCUAGACAUUAUUUAAACAUAUUAAAAAUAUUAUUUAUAAAAAAAUUAUAGCAGUGUUUUAUAGUACUUUUUUGAAAUAAAAAAUAUAUAAUUUUUAAUACGGACCGGCCCGUUUAGCCCGGGCCGUCCGUUUUGACAGCUCUAGACAUCCACUUGUAAUAUUCAUAACACUCCCCCUUGGAUGUCCAUCUUAGAUAUGCCUCAUUAAAACCUUACUAGAGAAAAACCCAGUGGGAAAAAAAUUCCAGUGAAGGAAAAAGAGUACAACAUCCUUUUGUGUUAUAAUCUGCCUCGUUAAAAACCUUACCAGGAAAAUCCAAUGGGAUAAAACCAUGGUUAAGGGAAAAAGAGUGCAGAACACAAUUUUGUCUCCCCCUCAUAAAGACAAUUAUAUAUGAGACGAAGAAGUUUAAACAAUCUUUUAUGCAAGUUACUCAAAAUCUUUACUUGACGGUGACUUUGUAGAAAGAUAUGAUAUAUUUUCAUACUCUUCUCCAAAUUAGCAGCUCUUGUGAUAUCUUCAUAUUGAGGUGUUGAAAGAACCUCCUUUUAAAAUUAGAAAACCACAAGUUUCUUGUAUGUGUGAAAUCAUAAUCCUUAAUAAAGAGCAUUCUCCACUUCCUUGAUGUAGUGCUAACAUUUUCAAAUGAUCGGAUGAUAUUGUUGUUUCUCUAAGAUACAAAUUGUAUGUUUGACUUUGCUGCAAUAUCUAUAUUUACUAACAUUGACAAAAAAAAUACCACGAUAUAUAUAUAUAUAAUAAGCAAAAUGAAUUCGUGUCCUCACCUGACCAAUUCAAAUUAUUCAUGAUUUUCUUGAGGACAUGAUCUUUAUUCACAUCAAGUGACAUCACAAUCAUUCUAGUACAUAAUCAAUUAGAUUUGUUCAUAAAAACAUUUAUAUAACAAAAUUUAGAAUCUCUGCAGGAGUUCUAAUAUAUAUAUAUAUAUAUAUAUAUAUAUAUAUAUGAUUAUAACAAAUUCAUUUCAAAUCCUUAAAAUGGACAAAUGAUGUCAUCUUUUCAAUAGAUUUGAUAGUACGUUUCACUCAAAUGAAAUCCUUCAAGAAGUUUCAUAUAAUAAAAAUAAAUUGUAGCACAUUUUCAUAUAAUGUGAGCCUUUCAUGUGCUACUGAACUUAAUCAACUAUGAAAAAGUUCUUGGAUUCACUUCUGGUAAAUAUGUCUUUUAAAAUAAAUGGUAGACAUUUAUCAAUUCACUUCAGGUGAUCAUAUCAAACUUUGUAUAUAUGUAAUUUACCAUACUAAUUCCUUUUUCGCGCGAAAAAUCAUAUAUAGUCAUUUAACUUCACACCUUCAAGUGUGCGGACUACAAGUCAAAACAAAGUCUGCUUCAUGAAGCGAGUUUGAUUUCAGUAGAAUUGUCUCUUUCCAUUCUGUAGAUAUUUUCUUUAUCUAUAAUCUUUAGUCGACUUUAACACAUGAUCCUCAUUAUUACUUAUCACAUAUAGCGCUAUAUUAUAUGCAAAAACACGUCAACGUUGACUUCAUUUCGGUUCCAUCUCAUUCCAUUGAGAUCUUUCAUUCAUGACAUAAUUUACCAAUAUUUUAUAAGUUUCAGGUACCUGAUUAGUUCUUCUGGAACUGAAAAAAACAAUUAUGUCAGAAAACUCUUUUAGAGUUUCUAUAUCCUCGUUUUGGGUUAUCUUUCCUUUAAGCUCCUUUUCUUAUUCAAAGCUUUUUAUAUUUGGAACCGAUUGAUCUAUCAUGCUUCAGGCACGAUGAAGACUCAUUUGCAAUAUUAGAUUAUCUAAUAUGAACAUCUAUUUCGAUUGGAGCAUUAGCAGCUAAUAAGAUUUGUUUACCUUUGCAAAUGAGUUAUAUCUUGAGGAUCAAGAAGAGACAAUAAUAUUUCCUUUCAAAUAAUUUAUUUGAACAUCAGGUUCACAAUUUUUAGCUGCUUACCAUCUCCCCCUAAUAUUGGGAAAACCAAACCAUCAAUUGAUAAUCAGCCUACUAGGCUGUAAACAAGUUGGCUCAAUACAAUUAAUGAUAGAUGGAGAUUUAUAUCAAAUAUAUUUUCCCAAUGAUAAAUUAAGGGGAGAACUUACAUAUAGUAAUGUGUUGGCUUGAUGCAUAUCAUUAUCUCAAUAUACAAAAUUAUUGAUUCCCAAAAUUGAGUUUAUAAGGCAUUAUCUCAUAACCAAAAUAGAGUUUAUAAGGUAUGGUCUCAUAAGUAUCAAUCAUACAAUUAACUUUAGACGUCUAAAUAAUGGAUCUCCAAAUCCAUUUUUAUGAGCAUAUGCUACCAGCUGUUCAAUAUGAAUUUGAAUUGGUGAAUGAUACUUAUGAAAUGCUUUCUGAAAAGUUUAGAAAAUAAACUCUUAGUCAAAUUUGUUUAGAUAAUAAUCUCACAAACUUCUGGUUGUGAAUAUACAUGUGAUUAUUUAGUUGAUGCAUCGAUUCAAAUCAUAUAAUAUCCAAGUGAUUCACAUGAUCAGUGUAUUAAUUUAAAUAACACCUUAUAUAGGUGAGAUACUCAUUCCUUUAAAUUGUCAAUUUCCCUUAGGAACUAGUAACACAAAAGUCACUAGAUUGAAGAAUCUUCUGGCUCUUCAAUAUAUAUCCAUAUUAAUUUAUUUUUUUUUCAACUAGUUUAUGCAUCAUAAUAGAUCCGGGACAACCCAACCAGUCUUGCCAACAAUAAAUUUAAUAUAAUUUGUAAAUUUCUGGUUUAUGAUAUUAUGUGCUUCCAUUGCACAAAUAAUAUAAUAUGUAAACUUCAUGUUUACAAUAAUAAGUGCUUCUAUUGCACUAAUAUAAGUGUAUUAUAAAUAAGAGACAAAAUAAAAUUUUCACUACACUUAUUUUCUUCAGAGUAUAUCUCGUAAUAUAGAGAUUUUUAACAUUAAAAUUUUAUGAGAAUGCAAUCUCAAUGUUUAACUUUGUUCCUCCAUGUAACAAUAAAUUAGUUAUUCCAGAGCCUUCAAUAAUUUAUUUAUUUUGAAGUGCAAUGCUAACAUUGAUUCCUUGCAUCAUAAUUUAUGAAAAAUAUUCGUGGUUCUUCCAAAAUGCAUGAUUGAAACCAUAUUAUUGUAAAAAAAAAUAAAAAUUAAUAACAAUAAAUUUCAAAUAUCAUAAUCAUGCUAUAACCCAAAUAUUCAAAUUCAAAUGAAAUAAACUUGAAUCUUAUAUAUACGAGAGAAAAAAUCAUGUCAAUAUUGAUUCACUACAUGUGAAUAUAAAUAUUUACCCAUAUAUUGUAGAAUCAAUAUUUCUCAAAAUUAAAGAAUCAAUCCUUUGUAUAAUGUACUACCAAAUUGAAUCACAAAAGUUGAGAUUCAUUAUUAAAAUACAACAAAUCUUCCACAAAUAUAUAUCAUAACCAAAUAUAUAGCAUUUCUUUAAUUAUUUAUUUAUUUUAUAACUAAAUACAAAGUUUAUACACAAAAAUUAUGUGAAUCAAUUUUAAUUUCAAACUAGAAAUUAAAAGGUAGGAUAUAAAUGUUUUGCCAAAUAAAAAUAUAUUUUAACAACAAAUAAAUUCAAUUCGAUGCUAACAACAUAUUUGCAUUUGUUGUUACAAUGAUCAAAUAACCAUACUCAAUAAUUCAAAACAAAUAUUUGUAUAUAUGACAUUUAUGUGCAUAUCGAUAAUGGAUCAUAAAUAAGUUUAAAUCAAAAUCCACACAAAAAUUUCUCAAAUUACAUGAAAGCACAACCAUAAAAAUAAAAUACUUAUUUUUCAUCAAAAGAAUACACAAAUAUUGACUAGAACAAAUUGAUGUACAUAUCUCCUUAAAGGAAACUUCAGUUUUUCGAAAGUAUAGAAAAUUUUCUACAUUGAAAAAAAAUUUGGCCUACUAUAAUUUAGAAAAGAGUCUAUAUAGUCUAUAUGAGCUGAAAUUCAAGAACUUAAAACAUGAUAAUUUAGGUGCCAAACACGAUUUUGGUGGUUGCGAAAUUGAAAUUGCCAAAAUCGCAUGGGAUCAAAAUUUUCUAUCGUGAAGUCAAUUUGCUUCUAAAAAUAAUGAUUUUAUCCAAUUUUUAUUUCAAAACAAAAAAUUGUGACAAUCAACUAAAACAAAAUACAUGAUUCUAAUUGGUGUCUAUCAAUCAAAUUGACAAUGAAUCCAUAACAAACAAGAGCCAUAAAGUCAGUAAAAAAACGAAAUUAGUUACAUUAUCGUUUUUUUUUUUUGAAAAAAAUAUAUAGAAUUUAGAAAAUAAUUUUAGAUCAAAUCUUAAAAAAAAAAUUAAUAAAAUUUGAAUCCUUAAUUUUAUGAAGAAAAAAUAGAUAUUUAAUUUAAUAUUAUAUUUGAAACAAACUCAAACGUAAAGAUAUGUUUCAAAUCAAUUAUAAUAUAUAUAUAUAUAUAUAUAUAUAUAUAUAUAUAUAUAUAUAUAUAUAUAUAUAUAUAUAUUUAACUUAGAUCCAAAUAAAAACUAGUUGGUUUAUUUUAAACCCAACAAAACUGGUUUCAGCAAAAUUUUUGGAAAUAAUCCACAAUUAAAGGAAACAAUCUCGAUCAAAUAGAGAUUUUUAAAAUUAAACUAAAAAGAUAAAAUAAUAAUUAAAUCAAGGGAUAAUUUCAACUGAAUCUUAAAUCAAUAAAACAUGGAAAUUUGGUGAAAAAAAAUACACACCAAUUCACAAAAGAAAAAUGAGUUUUUUCAAGAACUUUUUCACGAACUACUCACAAUCAAAUCAAUUAUUUGUGCAAUCCAUGUAUCACUAUUGAAUUCUUCAGGAAUUCAUGGAGAAUAAAAUUGGUUGAUUUUUAAAUUUUUUUAAGCUUUUCAAGAACUAUAUAACAUAUCUAUAAGGCACUGAUUUAAUGUAUCUAUAAGGCACUGAUUUCAAUUGAUGGAAUUGUAACAGUAUAGCCUAUAAUCAUUGAUACAAAAUUAAAACUUAUUUACAUAAAAAAAUAGAUUAAGAAGAAUUGCAUACCUCAGUUGGUAAACUUGUGCUGAUAACGUGUUAUGAAACUAUUAGAAUAAGAACAAGAAGAGAGAAUAGAGAUAGAAGAAAGAAGAUUAUGUUAUUCUCUUGUGAUGUAUAAUUAGGUUACAUAUGAGCUCUAUUUAUAGAGAAAUACAAUGACUUGGGGAGCAAGCACAAUAAGGUUCAAUAAACUAACAGUAUGAUCCAAUAACCCAAUUGCUAUAUGGACAUCCACUUGUAAUAUUCAUAACAAAUUUGAAUAAAUUGAACGUAUAUAAUUAUUUAUUCAAUUCUCCACUUCUUACAAGAGUGAAUAAAAUUAAAAUAAUUAUAUAAUAUACAAUACACUUUUUGUAUUCUCAAAUAAAUUGAAAAUUCAAACAAGCCUAAAUAAAGAUUUGAUAGAAAUUAUAGUAGUACCGACAUUAUGACUUACAAAUAUAGUUACAUGCAUAAAAGUAACAUAUGAUUAGUUUUUCUUAUAUGCAUUUACAAUAAAAUUUAGUGCACCGUGGAGAUAGAGGAGGGGGGCACAUGUAACUUGGACAAUCAUUGCUAGUAUCACAGCCAAUUCGAUAUAAGAAGCCUAAUAAGAAAAAAUAAAGUUACUAAAAGGUGAUAAAAUAUGGUACAUAAGAUAAAUUUGGAUUGGAAAUUGUGUAAAAAGAUACUUACGGUUAGUGGUUGCAACAUGAAAUAGAUAAAGAAAGAUGAUGAAAGCAUAAAAAUAACGUGGGAUUUGAGCCAUAUUAUUCCUUCUUUUCACGUAACAAAUAAGAAAAA
rnacentral:lncRNA from 1 species